rfam:Schistosoma curassoni strain Dakar, Senegal genome assembly, scaffold: SCTD_scaffold0003974
ACACUGCUGAGGAGUCCCACCAUAGGACGAAGUGCUCGUCCAGUGC